AGUGAUCGCUGGCGGUAGGCCUAACACAUGCAAGUCGGACGGCGGCACAGUAAGAGCUUGCUCUUACGGGUGGCGAGUGGCGGACGGGUGAGGAAUACAUCGGAAUCUACUUUUUCGUGGGGGAUAACGUAGGGAAACUUACGCUAAUACCGCAUACGACCUACGGGUGAAAGCAGGGGAUCUUCGGACCUUGCGCGAUUGAAUGAGCCGAUGUCGGAUUAGCUAGUUGGCGGGGUAAAGGCCCACCAAGGCGACGAUCCGUAGCUGGUCUGAGAGGAUGAUCAGCCACACUGGAACUGAGACACGGUCCAGACUCCUACGGGAGGCAGCAGUGGGGAAUAUUGGACAAUGGGCGCAAGCCUGAUCCAGCCAUACCGCGUGGGUGAAGAAGGCCUUCGGGUUGUAAAGCCCUUUUGUUGGGAAAGAAAAGCAGCAGGUUAAUACCCCGCUGUUCUGACGGUACCCAAAGAAUAAGCACCGGCUAACUUCGUG
rnacentral:rRNA from 1 species